rnacentral:rRNA from 1 species
UACGUAGGGGGCAAGCGUUGUCCGGAAUCAUUGGGCGUAAAGAGCGUGUAGGCGGCCAGGUAGGUCUGCUGUGAAAACUCGAGGCUCAACCUCGAGACGUCGGCGGAAACCAUCUGGCUAGAGUCCGGAAGAGGAGAGUGGAAUUCCUGGUGUAGCGGUGAAAUGCGCAGAUAUCAGGAAGAACACCCGUGGCGAAGGCGGCUCUCGUGGGACGGUACUGACGCUGAGACGCGAAAGCGUGGGGAGCGAACAGG